UACGUAGGGUCCGAGCGUUGUCCGGAAUUACUGGGCGUAAAGAGCUCGUAGGUGGUUUGUCGCGUUGUUCGUGAAAACUCACAGCUCAACUGUGGGCGUGCGGGCGAUACGGGCAGACUUGAGUACUGCAGGGGAGACUGGAAUUCCUGGUGUAGCAGUGGAAUGCGCAGAUAUCAGGAGGAACACCGGUGGCGAAGGCGGGUCUCUGGGCAGUAACUGACGCUGAGGAGCGAAAGCGUGGGGAGCGAACAGG
rnacentral:rRNA from 1 species